CGCCAUAUGGAUCGGCUUUUCCAGAUUUUUUGAAUUAUCCAGUUUGUUGAUCUUUCGCGAUCUCGAUUCGUUUUCAUUAACAUCCACUUCGAGUCUUGAAUAUCCAGGCAUUUUUUCUUCUUAUAAUAUGACACAACACGGUUUAUUGAAACUAGCCUACAUGCAUACCCGCCUGUGCCGUUUUUUCCGAGGCAGUUAUUAUCUUUGUAUAGCUUCCUGUGUCAUCGCACAAACUGACUUAUCUUCAACACUCGAUUUUAGUUCUAUCAAUUAAGUAAUUACGUUUUUAGCAAGUAGACUAACAUUUAUGGUAGCAAAAUGACUAGUAAAUAUUUAUAAAAUAAAUAACUAACAAUGUUUAUUUAUUUUUUUUUUUUUUUUAUAUAGAUAUAUACAGUUGUAAUUAGGUUGAUGAAAAUAAUUUCCAGGCGAGAAAGUUUAACAGCCUUACUACCCAGCAGCACAUCACUAUAUGGAAAGUUUUUAACUGAGUACUGCAUACGGACUUACCAGUUGGCAUUCACUUAUAAACAGUCAGUUAGAAGGGGUCAGAGAGGAUAGAGAGGAUCUGAGAGGACUUGCCUCAAAUCCCCACAAUUUUUUUAUUUCGCACCGAAGACUCCCACGUGAUUUCAUUCUAUCUCUUAUCGAGUGUUGAGACUCACUCAGAAAAAGCAACAGAUUAUAAUUUUACAGAAUUACACUGAGAUAAUUGGAACUAAUAAGGCGAAAUAAUUGGAUUGAUAAGAAGAAUAAAAAAUUAAAUUAAACAGAAGAUGGCUGAUUUUUUCAUUGUCCAUUAUCGGUUAUUUAGAUGUAAGAAGAAGUAACACGUACCUAAACGAGAGCGUUUUUCACAAAGUGAUUUAAGACGAACGUUUUGAAUUGUUAGGUGAGGAUAAGUGCAC